UGAGCAUAGGAAUAAAAAGGCAUCUUUUUAUUUUUAAAAGACCUUUUUCGGAAGGUAUGCUUAAAGAGGGGCUUGCGUCACAUUAGUUAGUUGGCAGGGUAAAGGCCUACCAAGACUAUGAUGUGUAGCUGGACUGAGAGGUUGAACAGCCACAUUGGGACUGAGACACGGCCCAAACUCCUACGGGAGGCAGCAGUAGGGAAUUUUCGGCAAUGGAGGAAACUCUGACCGAGCAACGCCGCGUGAACGAUGAAGUAUUUCGGUAUGUAAAGUUCUUUUAUUGAAGAAGAAAAAAUAGUGGAAAAACUAUCUUGACGAUAUUCAAUGAAUAAGCCCCGGCAAACUAUGUGCCAGCAGCCGCGGUAAUACAUAGGGGGCGAGCGUUAUCCGGAAUUAUUGGGCGUAAAGGGUGCGUAGGCGGUUUAAUAAGUCUAUAGUUUAAUUUCAGUGCUUAACACUGUCCUGCUAUAGAAACUAUUAGACUAGAGUGAGAUAGAGGCAAGUGGAAUUCCAUGUGUAGCGGUAAAAUGCGUAAAUAUAUGGAGGAACACCAGAGGCGUAGGCGGCUUGCUGGGUCUUUACUGACGCUGAGGCACGAAAGCGUGGGGAGCAAACAGGAUUAGAUACCCUGGUAGUCCACGCCGUAAACGAUGAGUACUAAGUGUCGGGAUUACUCGGUACUGAAGUUAACACAUUAAGUACUCCGCCUGAGUAGUACGUACGCAAGUAUGAAACUUAAAGGAAUUGACGGGACUCCGCACAAGCGGUGGAUCAUGUUGUUUAAUUCGAAGAUACACGAAAAACCUUACCAGGUCUUGACAUACUCUGCAAAGCUAUAGCAAUAUAGUGAGGUUAUCAGGGAUACAGGUGGUGCAUGGUUGUCGUCAGCUCGUGUCGUGAGAUGUUAGGUUAAGUCCUAAAACGAGCGCAACCCUUGUCAUUAGUUGCCAGCAUGUCAUGAUGGGCACUUUAAUGAGACUGCCAAUGAAAAAUUGGAGGAAGGUGAGGAUCACGUCAAAUCAUCAUGCCCCUUAUGAUCUGGGCUACAAACGUGAUACAAUGGCUGUUACAAAGAGUAGCUGAAACGCAAGUUUAUAGCCAAUCUCAUAAAAGCAGUCUCAGUUCGGAUUGAAGUCUGCAACUCGACUUCAUGAAGUUGGAAUCGCUAGUAAUCGCGAAUCAGCAUGUCGCGGUGAAUACGUUCUCGGGGUUUGUACACACCGCCCGUCAAACCACGAAAGUUGGUAAUACUCAAAAACGGUAGCCUAACUUCUUCGGAAGAGGGAACCGUCUAAGGUAGGAUCGAUGAUUGGGGUAAGUCCGAA
rnacentral:rRNA from 1 species